CUUCUGUGUUGCAUAAAACUGGGUGAAACUUCUGUGUCAAAACUUCACAAUGACCUUCUUAACACGCUGGGUAUCAGUGCUACUGGCAUUUCUUCUCUUACAUUUUUGGAGAACAAAGGUUUAUGCUUCUGGAAACUCAGAGGAGGAAAUAGAUUUCACAUAUGUUAUUAUAGGAGUUACUCUGGGAGCGUUUCUAGCAAUUACUUUUGUAGCAGUAAUAAUCUGCAUGAUCAAAAAACAGAUGAUUGACAAUGUUUUCAGAGGUAAGAAAAAUACUACUGCUUUCUCAGUCAGAGAUCUAGAUCUCCUUAUGUUCCAAUACAGCAGAUCUGCGCUUCAGUGUUAGGAAUUAUGAAUGUGCCACAGCUCUAGUUUUCCUCUGAAGAACUAUUUUAAAAGGUGUCUGAAGUGCUGGAGUCCCUGGAACUGCAGGUUCACAUCUUGGUGUAACCAACUCUGCUCUUUAAUCCUAUCAGAGAAACAGAUUCACUUCAGCAUACUGCUUAGGUAUCUUCUAGAAUAACUAAUUUUUAAACAGAAUUCUGUCUAUUUAACAUAAGUUAAUGAACCUGUUGCAUCUGCAGAAUGGGCAAGAGGCUUGCUUACACUUCCUAAUCAAAAUUACUAUAUAUUUCACUGAUUUUGGACUUUUCUUUCAAAUGCCACUGGCUCUAAGAUACGCAGUUUCCAUCAGAGUACAUAGAAAACUGUAAGUUUCUCACUGCAACUGGUUUUCAAGUUGUUACAAGAAAGCACCUUUUUCAUCUGAAAUGGGCAAAGGCUCUUCGAUCUAAAAUCAUAACUGCUGGUAGUAACAGUUCCUUUUGAGUUCAUACCAGCAAUUUACAACCCAUAUUUUUGGAUUCAAAACCAAAAUCUUAAACUGAAUAUGACCAUCAUUUCAGUAGACAGAAGUUAGUGACAGGCAGAAUUUGUCCCACUGCCCUGCAUCC